UGGUGAAGGGCUGCGCGGGUGCAGGCAGCGCUAUGCUGAGGCCCGGCUUGGCCCCCCGUGCGCCCUCCUCCCCACCCUGGGGCCUCAGCAGGUCCAGGCUGCCCGGCGACUGCAGUAGCGAGUUUGGUGACGUGCCCUGCACACAGACACGCUGAGUGAAUGGUUGUGUCUGCUCUGUGACUUGGCAAGCACGAGACAGCGCAUCAACAGUGAAUGAGCUUCCGUUGGAUAGAUAGGACACGCAUGUCCAGCAGGAUGGCCAGGUGCAAGGGAGUAACUGUGCAAUCGCCACCCUUGGAGGCCCUUCAGGGGGAUCCGCACAUGACGUUAGGUGAAGAUCACCCUGGGCCCUUAAUGCUCAUGUGAGAGCACCAUAAAUCCAAGUGCUAGGAGAUUAUUGGCGUGUGUAAGGCUGGCAGGGAGGGGCGCACGGAUGGGUCGCUGUGGGCGACGUCGGCUUCGGCCUGGAGAGCUUGGAAAAGGACGUCGAACUCGUGGGAGAUUCGCGUGUAUGCGCGCUCGCUCUUGGGCGACAGCGGGAACUUGGCGCCCUCGCCCAGGCCCAGCGGCUUCAGAAUGUCCGUCGCGCCUUGCGCCAGGAAGCUG
rnacentral:lncRNA from 1 species